CACACACACACAAAACGGUGACGUUUUAAUCCAACUCCUCACGCGCCAAACUACACCACCCCCUCUUUCUCUUAUCUCCUUUUCCAUCAAUUUCUGAAUUUAGACACCAAAACACACACAGACACAGUCAAGUGGACUUCUCACUGUACCCAAAAGCUACAAACUUUAAGGAGGAGAGAGAAAAAUCUAGUGAGAGAAAAAUCUUGUGAGAGAAAAUCAACACACACAAAAAAAAGAUGCAAGAAGGUGGUGGAAGUGAGUUAACUCGAACGAGUGGACUCGCCCGAUUCCGCUCAGCUCCGGCAACAUGGUUAGACGCUCUACUUGAAGAUGAUGACCCACUUAAACUUUCGGGCCCAACCCAUCAACACCAAGGUGGGCUAACCCAGCUCUUAACUGCUGGGACAACUACCUCAACUGGGCCUAGCUCGGUUCCCUCGGCCCGGCCCACUAGUGCAUCGUAUAUCUCACCUGAUCCAGGUUUCUUUGAAGGUGGAGGUGGUGGUGGUGGUGGGACACAUCAAGGUGGUAAUACGGUGGCGUUUCAACGGAUGAAUAGUUCACCAGCGGAGUUUUUGAGUGCUAAUAUUGAUGGGUAUUUUUCAAGUUUUGGGAUUCCUUCAAAUUAUGAUUUUGUAGGAGGAGGAUCUUCAGUGGAUGUUACUGGGUCUGGUAAAAGGUUGAGAGAAAGUGAUUCUGAGCAACACUCACCUAAUUUCUCAUCUCAAAGGAGAGGGGAGCAAAGUGGGUCAUUGACUACAGCUAGUAGUUUGGUGGAGAUGGAAAUGGAGAAGCUGUUGGAGGAAUCAGUGCCCUGUAGGGUUCGGGCUAAGCGGGGUUGUGCUACACACCCUCGUAGUAUUGCUGAGAGGGUUCGGAGGACGCGGAUUAGUGAUAGGAUAAGGAAGCUGCAAGAACUUGUGCCCAACAUGGACAAGGAUACCUGCAUGCUUGACAUGGAGUUUUCUGGAGGUUCUGCUCAAAGGUGGUAUUCCUUGCUUAUUGCACUCUGUGGAUGAUGGAGAAUGUAUUUGAGCGAAGGUUAUCAACAAACAAAUACUGCAGACAUGUUAGAAGAGGCUGUGGAAUAUGUGAAGACACUGCAAAGGCAGAUACAUGACCUGACAGAGCAGCAGAAGAAAUGCAAAUGCAUAGCCAAAAGCUGACUCUGGAAUAAGAUAAUUUUCGCAGCUUCGUUUUUUGUUAGUGUACCCUUUAAGUUCCGAUGUCUCACUAAGGUUGCCGAUGGCUUUAUUUUUUUAUUGGUGCCACAUAUUUGCAAGAAACUAUCCCCGGGUUGCUGUGGAUUUUCCAAUCGCAAAUGCAAGAUCUGGAGAAUUGGUUCGGAAAACCAAGCUUCAUAAUCGGUGUCGAGUUUCGUUUGCAAAGCUCUCCCACAAAUUUUAUGGUGGCAACCCAUGUUGUAUAAUUUGCUUGGUGAGAUUGUACUUUGUAUUAUGUUGUACACAAAUAUUGUAGUUUAGUAUUGUAGGAUCUUCUUAGAUUAUCAAGUUUGGGGUUUUUGUUACUAUAAAUGUUUGCUCUGCACAUAUGUAGAAGCCACCCAGAAGGGGAUUAGAUAGAAACAUUGUAUAACAUUGUCACAACUCACUCGAGAGUCGAGUGUAUUAUGUACCUGGAGAUAAUCUAAUAAUCUUUUGGCUCGUGAAGGCCAAUGUAAGCUAGUACUUAGUAUAUGACAUUGUUUUUAUUUCAGAAAUCAUGUAUAUAUUCACUUCAGCUUAAGCUUUUGGUUUA